UAAUACGCCGGUGCACUUGGUAAUUUACAGCAGGCGGUGUCGGUGAUAAUGAUGCAGGGGCUCAUCUCCUUUGGUGGCAUAGUAACCCCAAGACCAGCAGUAUCUUCUUAGGACGCACUCCAGCAGGUUCCUAAAUAGAUUUCUAAGCAGUGGGCUAGGAGGAGAGAGACAAGAAGACUCAGAUGAGAACAAACAGGCACAUUUCAAAAUAGAAAAAAAGCCUGAAAAAUUGGUCGACUCUACAUUGUUGAAACAUCAUGAGAAAGAAAAUUAUUGCUUGAAAGCAAUUUCCUCCUGGAAUCUAUCCCCUGCAGAUUUGUUUUAAGGAAGCUUCUGGAUUAGCUGCCAAAGACUGUGAGGUCUUUCUGUCUUAAAGUCUUAAAAAAAAAAAUUAUUUGAAGUACUGUAAACCAACAUGAAUAAAAUGAUACGGGAUCGAGAAAUAAUUUGUGUU
rnacentral:lncRNA from 12 species